rnacentral:rRNA from 1 species
GCUAGAGAUGAUUAGUGGCGGACGGGUGAGUAACAUUUAGGAAUCUGCCUAGUAGUGGGGGAUAGCUCGGGGAAACUCGAAUUAAUACCGCAUACGACCUACGGGUGAAAGGGGGCGCAAGCUCUUGCUAUUAGAUGAGCCUAAAUCAGAUUAGCUAGUUGGUGGGGUAAAGGCCCACCAAGGCGACGAUCUGUAACUGGUCUGAGAGGAUGAUCAGUCACACCGGAACUGAGACACGGUCCGGACUCCUACGGGAGGCAGCAGUGGGGAAUAUUGGACAAUGGGGGCAACCCUGAUCCAGCCAUGCCGCGUGUGUGAAGAAGGCCUUUUGGUUGUAAAGCACUUUAAGCAGGGAGGAGAGGCUAAUGGUUAAUACCCAUUAGAUUAGACGUUACCUGCAGAAUAAGCACCGGCUAACUCUGUGCCAGCAGCCGCGGUAAUACAGAGGGUGCGAGCGUUAAUCGGAAUUACUGGGCGUAAAGCGAGUGUAGGUGGCUCAUUAAGUCACAUGUGAAAUCCCCGGGCUUAACCUGGGAACUGCAUGUGAUACUGGUGGUGCUAGAAUAUGUGAGAGGGAAGUAGAAUUCCAGGUGUAGCGGUGAAAUGCGUAGAGAUCUGGAGGAAUACCGAUGGCGAAGGCAGCUUCCUGGCAUAAUAUUGACACUGAGAUUCGAAAGCGUGGGUAGCAAACAGGAUUAGAUACCCUGGUAGUCCACGCCGUAAACGAUGUCUA